GACGAACGCUGGCGGCGUGCUUAACACAUGCAAGUCGAACGGAAAGGCCCUGCUUUUGUGGGGUGCUCGAGUGGCGAACGGGUGAGUAACACGUGAGUAAUCUGCCCUUGACUUUGGGAUAACUUCAGGAAACUGGGGCUAAUACCGGAUAGGAGCUCCUGCUGCAUGGUGGGGGUUGGAAAGUUUCGGCGGUUGGGGAUGGACUCGCGGCUUAUCAGCUUGUUGGUGGGGUAGUGGCUUACCAAGGCUUUGACGGGUAGCCGGCCUGAGAGGGUGACCGGCCACAUUGGGACUGAGAUACGGCCCAGACUCCUACGGGAGGCAGCAGUGGGGAAUAUUGCACAAUGGGCGGAAGCCUGAUGCAGCAACGCCGCGUGCGGGAUGACGGCCUUCGGGUUGUAAACCGCUUUCGCCUGUGACGAAGCGUGAGUGACGGUAAUGGGUAAAGAAGCGCCGGCUAACUACGUG
rnacentral:rRNA from 1 species